AUGCGGGGCACCCGGCUGAAGCCACCCGUUGGCCAUGCUCUUAAACAAAUAGAUGAAUUUGUUGUGCUUGUUUCUCCCCGGGCAGUGUUACAGCCCGCAUGCAACGUCGUUGGGAGUAAAGGCGCCACCAUACUCUUGACUAGCAUGCAGCAGCAGCAGCAGCAGCAGCGGAAACUGAAGAUGGCAAGAGGAAGGCUGCUCCGUUUCGACUUUGAGCUCACCCUUCCCCUGUGUCAGAUUCUAUGGGGAACAUUUGGUAUUAGUGUUCGAUCGCCGGCGGCUCUCUUCCCCUUUUCCGAGGCACUGCCGGAGAAAGACGCCGGCGUCGCCGUCGGCUCGUGGUCUCCAGCGCACGCACUCUCUUCAAGGCAUGCUCCCUCUCGAGUCUCGACCCCCCUUCUCUUAAUCCUGAAGCCUCCAUCCCCUCCCUUCUCCCCCUCGCGCCGCCUCCCCCAUUCUCUCCCGUCGCUGCUGCUCCCCUCGCGCCGCCUUCCUCAUCCUCUCCCGUCGCUGUUGCUCCAUCUCGCGCCGCCUCCCUCAUCCUCUCCCGUCACUGCUGCUCCCCCUCGCACUGCCCCCCAGCCUCCUCACCUGGACACGGCGACCAUGAGCGCCAGCGAGAGGAGGAAGGCUGGCGACUGGGCACUGCCGUACGAGGGGCCCGCCCUCUGCGCGCAUGCCAUCGCCGUCACCACCAACGCCGGGGGCCACGGCCAUGCAUCGCCAUCACCGGGAGGAGCGUCGGCCGCCGAGACGGCCGUCCACGUCGCUGUUGCCGUCGUCCUCGCCCCGACAGAUCGUCUCUCCGGCGCGGACUCCUCCUUCGACCACAACGCCGGCAAGCUGUAUAUCAAGCAGGCUUCGUCCGGGAUAACAUUUGCAGACGAAGAUGAUCCCGAGCCAGAGUGGGCAGCACAAGAUCAAAGAAACCAACAUGUUCACCGUAGACAACUAGGAUGCUGGAGACUGUCCUUCGAGCCAGUGAGCUUGGAGAAGAUGAUACGGGCGAAGAAUACCCCAAAUUAUAAUGUGAGAUGUGUGCAUUGCUUCAUGCUUCAGGUUAUUCUGAAGUCUGUGCUUCGUGACAAGUUGGAACUAUUGCCUUUGGCCAUAUUUCAUGGGAUGUUGUACUUUUUUGCGGGGUCAAGGAUUAAUGGCUCGGAUGAACUGAUGCAGGGGAUUUACACAGGACAAAAGUAUCUGUCUAUAUCAACAGGAGGUCUUAGGUAG
rnacentral:rRNA from 1 species